rnacentral:rRNA from 1 species
UGGGGAAUUUUGGACAAUGGGCGAAAGCCUGAUCCAGCAAUGCCGCGUGUGUGAAGAAGGCCUUCGGGUUGUAAAGCACUUUUGUCCGGAAAGAAAUCCUCUGGGUUAAUACCUCGGGGGGAUGACGGUACCGGAAGAAUAAGCACCGGCUAACUACGUGCCAGCAGCCGCGGUAAUACGUAGGGUGCAAGCGUUAAUCGGAAUUACUGGGCGUAAAGCGUGCGCAGGCGGUUUUGUAAGACGGAUGUGAAAUCCCCGGGCUUAACCUGGGAACUGCAUUCGUGACUGCAAGGCUAGAGUAUGGCAGAGGGGGGUUAGAAUUCCACGUGUAGCAGUGAAAUGCGUAGAGAUGUGGAGGAAUACCGAUGGCGAAGGCAGCCCCCUGGGCCAAGUACUGACGCUCAUGCACGAAAGCGUGGGGAGCAAACAGGAUUCAGAUACCCUGGUAGUCCACGCCCUAAACGAUGUCAACUAGUUGUUGGGGAUUCAUUUCCUUAGUAACGUAGCUAACGCGUGAAGUUGACCGCCU